CGCUCUGGUGGCCUAGUGAUUAAAGCGUCCGCCUCAUAAGCGGAAGGUCGUGGGAGCAAUCCCCGGUCGAGUCA